GCCAAAGGGAUGCAUCGGCGCCUUCGACAUACAAAACCUUAGCUAGAGCUCUGACCACUGCGCAGCCUAUACGUCAUCACUCGUCAGAGGCCAAGGUUAAGCGCUUAGGCUAAUCACGGCUAAUGCGUCACUGAUGAUGCGUGUGUGCUGUGUUGUGUAGAUAGAAAUGUUUCUUUUGAAAAACAUCUAAAUAUGCUUUAUAAUAGUGUUAGACUUUCUACACAUUCAUUAUGGAUUAAAACUGCAGAUGUACAAUGGUGAACAAAUGCUGUCUUCCGUUUUUGUAAAGGAAAUUAUAAUAAAGAGACUAAAGCACACGUUUUUCAAUUCCCCAAAGAAAACAUGGCUAGCAGCAAUACCAAGGAAGAAUUACAUACCAACAGACUAGGCUUACUCAAGAAUCUGUUAUAAACAUUUCAAAGAAGAAGAUGUAUUGUGGACAGACUCUAUGUUUGAUACUAAGUCUGGAAAAUUACUAACAGCCCCUCGGAGUAGGCCAAGGUUGAAGUGAUGCAAUUCCAUCAAAGUUUCCUGGAUGCCCCAUGCUACUACACAGCGAAGUCAACGACUACAACACGUGAGUGUCAGAGUGUAAAAAAACAGCACUUAGAGAGUGAAAGAAUGGAAAGUGUGUUAAAAGAGAGUGUGAAAUCUCAAGAAGAAUAUGAGAGAAAAAAUAAAAUAAAUGAUUUCUGUCAAUGUAAAGAAAGUGUAAGAAGUAUGAAUGUUUCUUCAUUUCGGAAUGUUAUUUGUCGAGAGGAGUGUAUCAUUUUUGUAAAUUGUCAAGGUUUGGGACCAGUUGAGAUAAUAUAUUCUAUUGUUCUUGGAACAUCUCUUGAUGUUAAAGUUUUCUUUAAACAAACAUAAAUAUUUUGUAUAGGUGAUAAGCAACUACCUAAAAACAUCUCCUAUAUUUAUGAAAUAACAAAUUUGUUAGAACUCAUCAAACAAUAUUCUACCACAAACUACAAUACUAACAGUUUAACUAUUAUUAAAGAAACACUAAGUACACUCCUCAAAAAUGACCAUUAAAUUAGCUUAUUUAUUCUUUCAUCUUGUCCCAAAUGGAACUGAUAGAAAGUAAAAAAAAUAAGUAUAAAUAUAAUUGUGACCUGUUUUUAUUUUCUUCAUUAUUGUUUUUAAUAUCCCCGCAAGCUUAUAAAUAUGUAAGAAACUCUGGCAAUAUUAUUUUACCUCACCCAAUCACCAUUAAAAGAACUUGUAAUUCUUUUAAGAUUGGUCCUGAAUUAGAGCAGAUAGAGGACAAUUUUUUAUACUACAUGAAACAAUAUGUUAGUAGUUUAAAAGAGCAUGAAAAAACAGUGAUUUUAAUGUUAGAUGAAAUACAUCUCAAACAAUUCAUGGACUAUAAGGGUGACAAUAUAGUGGACACUGAUCAUUGUUCAAUUAAUUUGGCAUCUACAGCUCAUGUUUUUAUGAUACAGAGUCUUUUGUCAACUUAUAAAGAUGUUAUUCAUAUUUUACAAGUAAGUUCAAUAUCUGCUGAAGAAUUGCACAAUAUAACAAAGAAAAUUAUUGCUGGCUUAGACAAAAUAGGACUAAAUGUUAUGUGUGUAGUCGCAGAUAAUAAUGCCAUCAAUAGAAAGACCAUGUCCCUUUUUAUGAGCCCUUCUAAAUUAAGCAUUGUCUACCCACACCCUGUUGAUAAGUCACGUCCUUUGUUCUUUGUUAUUGACCCUGUACAUAUUUUUAAAUGUCUAAGAAACAAUUGGAUAAAUUAGAAAGAUGAAAAUAUUUCCUUUGACUUUCCAGAUUUUACUGAUUCAGCAAAACAUUGUAAAGCUUCUUUUCUCACACUUCGAAAAUUGUAUGAACCUGAAAGUGGUAAACUUUUAAAAUAUGGGCAUGGUUUGUCAGUAAAGGCUUCAUGGCCCAGUAGUAUUGAAAAACAAAAUGUUUGUAAAAUGUUUUACAUCAGUGAUGCCCAAAAUACGGCCCGCGGGCCAAAUCCGGCCCGCGACGUGGUUCCAUCCGGCCCGCCGAAAUGUCGGCACAACGUAUAUAAAAUCAGCUUACCCCCCCCCCCCCUCCUAAAGAAAAAGUUUUAAAAUGUCUCUUUUCCUACGUUAGUGCCCUCAAUUUUUCUCCGAUGAUUGGUACCAUGACUAACAUUUGUGCGUUUAUGAGACUCUAAAUGUAGAAUACAUCAUAAACAAAAAAAAAACAACAAAAAACUUUAAAGUGUAGCUGUUUUUUUUUUAAAGAAACGCGAUUAUAAAACAAAUUUGACGUCAUUGAAUAAAAAAAAAUUGUUAAACUACGUCUAGAGAUUGGAAGAUUAAUGUUAAUAUUUACCAAAAUAAAGCUAGCUACAGUGUUGCUCAUAUUUUUAGUAAAGAAAUGAAGCCGUUUUCUGACGCAUGAGAUAAUUCUAUCCCAUUAAUGAAUGUAAGUGCUAGAUCCAGGGGGUUUCUAAUCAAAUAGUUUCAGGUCAAUUUCAUUUCGCUUUUGUACCUUUCCUUUAUGUGGCCUGCGACACCACUGUCGGAAAUUAAAAUGGCCCGCAGGUCGAUUUAUGUUGGGCAUCACUGUUUUACAUGUUUCGGAUGUUCCUUCAGAGUUGAAGAUAGUUUACUUCCUAGUCCAAACCUCCCGCAGGACGAGGGGGGAUGGGAGCGGGCAGGGUUUGAACCCUCGACCGUCGAUAAAUCCGAACGACAGUCCAGCGCACAAACCGCACGACCAGGCAGCCAUCCAUGUUAAGCUAGUUCUGCAAGUUUUUUCAGAAUACAUUAUAGAGGCAUUAAAAGAACUUGGGCUAAAGUAUAGUUUGUUUCAUCUCCACGGCACAGCACACUUUUUAGAAAUAAUUUUACAAUGGUGGAAAAUAGUAAAUGUUAACAAUCCAUUUGUUGGUCAGAGAUGUAAAGAUAAGUUAAAAUAUCCAAUUACUAAUGAUGUCAAUGAUGCAAAUAUUCAUUUUUUAACUAAUUUUCUGAAAUGGCUUGAUAAUUGGUGUACCUUAAGUCCAAUUGUUGGAUGUUUGACAAGAGAAACAUUUACUGCCAUCUCACAUACAACUUAUGCUUUACUAGAAAUUUCUUCUUAUUGUUUUUCUGAGUUAAAACUUAAUUAUGUAUUGUUAGGUAAAUUUCAAACAGACACUUUGGAAGCUAGAUUUGGUUUAUAUAGACAGUUAGCUGGUGCCCAAUAUAACAUUUCCAUUAGGCAUGUUUUUGAAAUUGAAAAAAAAACUUAGAAUGUCAAAUGUCCUAAAGAAUAAACUGAUGAACUGCUUUUUUGAUUUUUCUGUUAACUUUUUUGAUUCUUCACAUGUAAGCACUAGAGUGCCUAGUCAAACAUUAAAUAAAUAUAUGGAUUUAAACGUAGUUGAAGGUGAUUUCAGUUGUUUACAAGCAGACUUACCGAUUGUUACUUAUGUUGCUGGUUAUUGUGCUCAUGUGGUUUUAAAGAAACUGAAUGGAUGUACUGCAUGCAAAGAGUUUUUAUUGUUAGAAAAGAUUUUGGAACUAGAUUCAUCUUUUAAAUUUACAAUUAACUUGGAUAGAGGUGGUCUGAAGCAUCCACAGAAAGCUGUUGUUGAUUUAGUUUUUUACAAUUAUUGUGUUCUAAAUCAAAUGGCUGCCUGGUCGUGCGGUUUGCGCGCUGGACUGUCGUUCAAAUUUAUCGAUGGUCAAGGGUUCAAACCCUGCCUGCUCCCAUCCCCCGUCGUCCUGCGGGAGGUUUGGACUAGGAAGUAAUUAUCUUCAACUCUGAAGGAACAUCCGAAACAUGUAAAACAUUUUACAAACAUUUUACAACUCACUAAUGAAAAUAUGUACUCAUGUUUUUGAAAGAAGAAAAUCAAAGAAAUGUAGCUAUAGCUGUGAACAAAAGUAUAUUAGCUAAUAAUGAGCAUUUUUAUUUAUGCAGUGACUCUUUAGAGUGUCAUGAUAGUCAGACAGUUGUUGACAUGAUUUUAUUUUCAUCAACCAAUUGUUUAUUGAAUAAUUUUAGCAAGAAUAAAAACAACUUAGUAAAAAAAUUCCAACACUAUCAGAAAGUUAUCUAAAUUUAAAAAGAAAUAAAUUAUAUAUAUAUACAUAUAUAUACAUGGGAUAUAUGUAUUUGUAAAAUAACUUUAUAUGAAAUCAUUGUAUUUUUUCAAAUGUGUAUUGUAAAUUAUUGAAGUAUAUUUUUGUGUGUUCAUUAAGCUUUUACAAUAAAAACUGAACUCUUUCAAGUGGUAGAUUUUGUCUGCAAAUAAAAUUGCUAUAUAUAACACCA